rnacentral:rRNA from 1 species
GGCCUAACACAUGCAAGUCGAACGCUCCGCAAGGGGAGUGGCGCACGGGAGAGUAACACGUGGGAACCUACCUAUUGGUUUGGGAUAACACCGGGAAACUGGUGCUAAUACCGGAUAAGCCCGAGAGGGGAAAGAUUUAUCGCCGAUAGAUGGGCCCGCGUUAGAUUAGCUAGUUGGUGAGGUAAUGGCUCACCAAGGCAACGAUCUAUAGCUGGUCCGAGAGGAUGAUCCGCCACACUGGGACUGAGACACGGCCCAGACUCCUACGGGAGGCAGCAGUGGGGAAUUUUGGACAAUGGGCGCAAGCCUGAUCCAGCCAUGCCGCGUGAGUGAAGAAGGCCUUCGGGUUGUAAAGCUC